rnacentral:rRNA from 1 species
CCUACGGGUGGCUGCAGUGGGGAAUAUUGGGCAAUGGGCGCAAGCCUGACCCAGCAACGCCGCGUGAAGGAAGAAGGCUUUCGGGUUGUAAACUUCUUUUCUGAGGGACGAAGAAUGUGACGGUACCUCAUGAAUAAGCCACGGCUAACUACGUGCCUGCAGCCGCGGUAAUACGUAGGUGGCAAGCGUUAUCCGGAUUUAUUGGGUGUAAAGGGCGUGUAGGCGGGAAAGCAAGUCAGAUGUGAAAACUCAGGGCUCAACCCUGAGCGUGCAUUUGAAACUGGUUUUCUUGAGUGCUGGAGAGGCAAUCGGAAUUCGGUGUGUAGCGGUGAAAUGCGUAGAUAUACGGAGGAACACCAGUGGCGAAGGCGGAUUGCUGGACAGUAACUGACGCUGAGGCGCGAAAGCGUGGGGAGCAAACAGGAUUAGAUACCCUAGUAGUC